CACGCCGUAAACGGUGGGCGCUAGGUGUGGGGAACAUUUCCACGUUCUCCGUGCCGUAGCUAACGCAUUAAGCGCCCCGCCUGGGGAGUACGGCCGCAAGGCUAAAACUCAAAGGAAUUGACGGGGGCCCGCACAAGCGGCGGAGCAUGCGGCUUAAUUCGAUGCAACGCGAAGAACCUUACCUGGGCUUGACAUGGAGAGUAAUCCGGCAGAGAUGUCGGGUCAUUUAGUUGGCUCUCACACAGGUGG
rnacentral:rRNA from 1 species